rnacentral:sRNA from 1 species
GCCUAGCCCAGAUGGGAACGGUAUCCUUUUUAUUUUUUCUUUAAAAAUAAAAAGAUAUAAGUGGACAGCUGGAAAUAGC